rnacentral:rRNA from 1 species
GAUGAACGCUGGCGGCGUGCCUAAUACAUGCAAGUCGAGCGAACUGAUUAGAAGCUUGCUUCUAUGACGUUCGCGGCGGACGGGUGAGUAACACGUGGGCAACCUGCCUGUAAGACUGGGAUAACUUCGGGAAACCGAAGCUAAUACCGGAUAGGAUCUUCUCCUUCAUGGGAGAUGAUUGAAAGAUGGUUUCGGCUAUCACUUACAGCUGGGCCCGCGGUUCGUUAGCUAGUUGGUGAGGUAACGGCUCACCAAGGCAACGAUGCAUAGCCGACCUGAUAGGGGGAUCGGCCACACCGGGGCUGAUACACGGCCCAGACUCCUACGGGAGGCAGCAGUAGGGAAUCUUCCGCAAUGGACGAAAGUCUGACGGAGCAACGCCGCGUGAGUGAUGAAGGCUUUCGGGUCGUAAAACUCUGUUGUUAGGGGAGAACAAGUACAAGAGUAACUGCUUGUACCUUGACGGUACCUAACCAGAAAGCCACGGCUAACUACGUGCCAGCAGCCGCCGCCG